CCUACGGGCGACAGCAGUGAGGAAUAUUGGUCAAUGGUCGGGAGACUGAACCAGCCAAGCCGCGUGAGGGAGGAAGGUACAGAGUAUCGUAAACCUCUUUUGUCAGGGAACAAAGGCGGGGACGUGUCCCCGGCUGAGUGUACCUGACGAAAAAGCAUCGGCUAACUCCGUGCCAGCAGCCGCGGUAAUACGGAGGAUGCGAGCGUUAUCCGGAUUUAUUGGGUUUAAAGGGUGCGCAGGCGGUCUGUUAAGUCAGCGGUCAAAGCCCGGGGCUCAACCCGGGCCCGCCGUUGAAACUGGCAGUCUCGAGUGGGAGAGAAGUAUGCGGAAUGCGCGGUGUAGCGGUGAAAUGCAUAGAUAUCGCGCAGAACUCCGAUUGCGAAGGCAGCAUGCCGGCUCCACACUGACGCUGAGGCACGAAAGCGUGGGUAUCGAACAGGAUUAGAUACCCGUGUAGUC
rnacentral:rRNA from 1 species